rnacentral:ribozyme from 15 species
CUGCAAAAGAAGAGAAAAUGCAGGAUGCGAUGGAAACUUUAACUUUUUUUUCUUUUUUUUCUAUAAUCAUUGCUGCAGCCAUAUUUAA